rnacentral:ncRNA from 1 species
GAUCUUCAGGGCGAGGUGAAAGUCCUCACCGGCGGUUAUAGCCCGCGAGCCAAGAGUUCUUGGUUGAUUUGGUGAAAUUCCAAUGCCGACAGUUAGAGUCUGGAUGGGAGAAGAUU